GGGGGGGGGAGCCUUGAGGGUGUGCAGUUCCAACUUUUUUCCUCAAAGAAACACUUUUGCCCUUUGGUCACUAGGUGGCAACCACAUAAACAUAUCUUACAUACUGUAUUUUAUGAUAUUUGCAUUGGUUCUGCUACCUAGAUUUCCUGUAGGCCUCUGGAGACAAAAACAGAAGAAACACUUUGCUACUACUACUCCCACUUCUGAAAGCAUAAAAUAAGUCUGAGUUCAGUAUAUCAGGACAAGCAUUAACAUAGCUUUGAAUGAAUUAGCAGUUAUGACAACAUUUUCUGCUGAAGCAACUUCAGUCAGUCAGGCUCCUCGUGUAAUGUGAGUAGGAAUGAAAGGUUUUUAGAAAUGGUUGCAUUGGGGGGGAUCAGUUGUGAGCCAGGAAAGAAAAAGAAGGGGUAUCUGACUAGUUUUGGGGCUUAUUCACACUUUUCUUUGCUCUUUCCAGGCAUGGUUGGUGAUUUAAAGCUCCCUGUCCAAGCACCAGGUUUUGGGGGUUUUAUUACUCGAGAGCCUACCCUGUGAAAACCCACUCUUUAAAUCUCAAUCAGACCAAAUGUCAAUCUGCAGAAAACCCAAAUAUACGUUUGCUCUGAUUCAGCUUUAAAGAGUUGGUUUUUGUGGGGAAAGAAAAAAAGGGCCACUCUGAUACAAGAGCAUUAAAGCACAGGUCUCUAGCUGGAAAGAGUGGGGCAAAAGGUAGGUGUAACUAGGCCCUAGGUCUUGUAUACUGUAUGUAUUUGCAGUAGCACUAAGUGAAUUUUGCUGCUCCCUCAAUCUUUGUGGGACAUUUAUAAUCUUGCCAAUACUAUGAAGUCAGAAGACAAAACUGAAAAUAUGGACCAGCUUCCUCAUUCUGCUCUCCAGGGAUCAUCCCUAUAAUCCCAUCCCAAUGCUUCUUGCAAGGAAAUGUCUCUACAUUUUUACUAUUAACCACUACUAGAAAUCUGGUCUCUUUUAGAAUAUCUUAAGGCAAAAGAUAUCUAUAUAGGGUAACAUCUUGUGUAAGCUAUUUCAUAUUCUAAGUAUUUUUUUUAUUUAUUUUUUACUUUUGAAGGGUGAGUGAGAGUGACUGAACAGAUGAGUGGAGCUGAACAACUGUCACUUAACCUAGUAUUCACAUUCUCCCUCUUCCUCCUCCAGGUACUUUUCUCCCCAGCUUGCCUUGUUGGAAAAAGAUGAAACUGGGAGGAAGAUGAAUGGAGAUAAGAAGAUGAAGAAGGGAG